rnacentral:rRNA from 1 species
AUCUCUGUAGAGUCUGCAUAUCAAUAAGCGGAGGAAAAGAAACUAACUAGGAUUCCCUUAGUAACGGCGAGUGAAGCGGGAAGAGCUCAAAUUUGAAAUCUUCAAGGUUCUACCUUGACGAAUUGUAGUUUAAAGAAGUGUUUUCUGUUGGAGUUUUGGUAAAAGUUCUUUGGAAUAGGACAUCAUAGAGGGUGAGAAUCCCGUAUUUGACCAUUAUUUCCAGCUUUGUGAUACACUUUCAAAGAGUCGGAUUGUUUGGGAAUGCAGUCCAAAAUGGGUGGUAAAUUUCAUCUAAAGCUAAAUAUUGGCGAGAGACCGAUAGCGAACAAGUACUGUGAGGGAAAGAUGAAAAGAACUUUGAAAAGAGAGUUAAACAGUACGUGAAAUUGUCAAAAGGGAAGCGUUUGACACCAGUGUUGUUUUCUCGAAAAUCAAUUAAAAAAAGUUGGAUUUUGUAUUGUUAAGACCUUAUCAGCUUACUGUACUCUUUUCUUGCUUUUUUUAAUGCACUUUUCGUUUAACAAGUCAACAUCAAUUUCUUUUGUUGUAAAAGAGUCAUUGGAAGGUGGCUUUCACUUCGGUGAAAGUGUUUAUAGCCCUUGGCUUCUGCAAUCGGAGAGAUUGAGGUCUGCAGCGUAGAUCCUUCGGGGCUAGAUACGUAGAUGCUAAGUUAUAGUUUUUUAUAGACAACUUGUUGACUAUAAUUAAUCAUGUAGCUUACUCGUUUGCGCUAUUUUACCUACGCUUAGGAUGUUGACGAGACUGUCGAUCUC